UACGGAGGGGGCUAGCGUUGUUCGGAAUUACUGGGCGUAAAGCGCACGUAGGCGGCUUUGUAAGUUAGAGGUGAAAGCCCAGGGCUUAACCCUGGAAUUGCCUUUAAGACUGCAUCGCUAGAAUCGUGGAGAGGUGAGUGGAAUUCCGAGUGUAGAGGUGAAAUUCGUAGAUAUUCGGAAGAACACCCGUGGCGAAGGCGGCCAACUGGGCCGGCACUGACGCUGAGGCGCGAAGGCGUGGGGAGCGAACGGG
rnacentral:rRNA from 1 species